AGACCAGCCACCGGGGACUCCAGAGAGGCCUCGGCCCAGCUCCCGGAAAGGGUCUCCCAGCCAGGCCUUCUAGCGGCCCAAAGCGGAUGGAAACUUGACCCAGAAUGGACAAGUGAUUCUCCAGGUCCAGGACUAAAACAUGGGCCUCUCAACAUCUCAGCAGGCAGGUGGAAGAGAUGGAGCAAACUCACUUGGAGCAAAGAUGGGCAGGAGGGGAACAGCGAAGCCCAGGCCAACGGCACCACAGGGCCCCUGGCAGAACAUGGACAGAGACAGUGUGAUUCCAGGGCUCUGUUCCCUUGCUGCUGCCUCCAUGGGCCCCGUACAUGUGCUCAUGAUUCUUAGACACAAACAAAGCUCCCAACACAGUGAUGGAAAUGCAGCUGCCAAGGGGGAUUGCCAAGGAAACCAUCUUUGAAAGGCUCAUUAUUCUUAUGAAGAAUCUGCAGGAGACAGGAGUUCUCAAAACAACUCUCGCUCCGCCUCUAUCCUCAACCGGACUCUGUGGGAGUGUCUCUUUUAGUAAUUAUCCUGUUCUUUGGUAAUUAUCUGCCUCUCCUGCUAGCCUGUGGGACUGUGUUUUCUUCAUCUUUGCAUCAUGAGUAUCUAGCACAGGGUCUGGCUCAUUGUAGUACCUGGCAGAUAUUGGUG
ensembl:lncRNA novel transcript